rnacentral:lncRNA from 1 species
AUGUCCACAGAAGGAGGAUUUGGUGGUACUAGCCGCAGUGAUGCCCAGCAAAGCCUAAAGUCCUUCUGGCUUCGGGUCAUGGAAGAAAUCUGGAAUUUAGCAGUGAAAGAUUUCUGAAUGCAGGAACUCCCACUGGCUCGUAUUAAGAAGAUUAUGAAACUGGAUGAAGAUGUGAAGAUGAUCAGUGCAGAGGCCCCUGUGCUCUUUGCCAGGGCAGCCCAGAUUUUUUAUCACAGAGUUGACUCUUCGAGCCUGGAUUCACACAGAGGAUAACAACUGCCGGACUUAUGUCGCCAUGGCAAUUACGAAAUUUGAUCAAUUGGAUUUUCUCAUCGAUAUUGUUCUAAGAGAUGAACUGAAACCUCCAAAGUGUCAGGAGGAGGUGCUGCAGUCUGUAACUCCUGCUGAGCCAGUCCAAUACUAUUUCACGCUGGCUCAGCAGCCCACCGCCCGUCCAAGUCCAGGGACAGCAGCAAGGCCAGACCACCGCCAGCUCCAUGACCACCAUGCAGCCUGGGCAGAUCAUCAUCGCACAGCUUCAGCAGGGCCAGACCACGCCCGUGACGACGCAGGUUGGAGAAGGUCAGCAGGUGCAGAUUGUCCAGGCCCAGCCACAGGGUCAAGCCCAGUAGGCCCAGAGUGGUACUGGAUGGACCGUGCAGGUGAUGUAGCAGAUCCUCACUAACACAGGAGAGAUCCAGCAGAUCCCGGUGCAGCUGAAGGCUGGCCAGCUGCAGUGUAUCCGCUUAGCCCAGUCUGUAUCAGGCACCCACGUUCUGCAGGGACAGAUCCAGACACUUGCCACCAGCGCUCAACCGAUUACACAGACAGAGGUCCAGCAAAGACAGCAGUAGUUCAGCCAGUUCACAGAUGGACAGCAGCUCUACCAGAUCCAGCAAGUAUCCAUACCUGCGGGCCAGGACCUGCCCAGCCCAUGUUUUUCCAGUCAGUCAACCAGCCCUCUGAUGGGCAGGCCCCCCGGGUGACUGGC